UUUUUGUUCUGGAAGAGCGGGAGAGCGUUUUGGAGUUCGUAACUCUGGGGCCGAGGCAGUUGUGGGCGGAGCCGGAGAUCACUUCCUCGAAUAUAUGACCA
rnacentral:tRNA from 3 species